GAUGACCCACAUGGUGACCACCCA
rnacentral:siRNA from 1 species